rnacentral:rRNA from 1 species
CAGCAGCCGCGGGAAUACAGAGGGUGCAAGCGUUAAUCGGGUUUACUGGGCGUAAAGGGCGCGUAGGCGGUUCGUUAAGUCUGUUGUGAAAGCCCCGGGCUCAACCUGGGAAUGGCAAUGGAUACUGGCGAGCUAGAGUGUGUCAGAGGAUGGUGGAAUUCCCGGUGUAGCGGUGAAAUGCGUAGAGAUCGGGAGGAACAUCAGUGGCGAAGGCGGCCAUCUGGGACAACACUGACGCUGAGGCACGAAAGCGUGGGGAGCAAACAGGAUUAGAUACCCCAGUAGUCCCUGUCUCUUAUAA